rnacentral:rRNA from 1 species
AACGAACGCUGGCGGCAUGCCUAACACAUGCAAGUCGAACGAGACCUUCGGGUCUAGUGGCGCACGGGUGCGUAACGCGUGGGAAUCUACCCUUGGGUUCGGAAUAACUCAGAGAAAUUUGAGCUAAUACCGGAUGAUGUCGCAAGACCAAAGAUUUAUCGCCCAAGGAUGAGCCCGCGUAGGAUUAGCUUGUUGGUGAGGUAAAAGCUCACCAAGGCGACGAUCCUUAGCUGGUCUGAGAGGAUGAUCAGCCACACUGGGACUGAGACACGGCCCAGACUCCUACGGGAGGCAGCAGUGGGGAAUAUUGGACAAUGGGCGAAAGCCUGAUCCAGCAAUGCCGCGUGAGUGAUGAAGGCCUUAGGGUUGUAAAGCUCUUUUACCCGGAUGAUAAUGACAGUACCGGAGAAUAAGCCCCGGCUAACUCCGUGCCAGCAGCCGCGGUAAU